rnacentral:rRNA from 1 species
UUUCCGGUUGAUCCUGCCGGAGGCCACUGCUAUCGGGGUUCGAUUAAGCCAUGCGAGUCGAGAGGGUUCAGACCCUCGGCGGACUGCUCAGUAACACGUGGAUAACCUGCCCUAAGGUGGAGGAUAACCCCGGGAAACUGGGGAUAAUACUCCAUAGAUUAGAGAUACUGGAAUGUUCUUUAGUCAAAAGUUCCGGCGCCUUAGGAUGGAUCUGCGGUCGAUUAGGUUGUUGUUGGGGUAACGGCCCAACAAGCCUGUAAUCGAUACGGGUUGUGGGAGCAAUAGCCCGGAGAUGGAAUCUGAGACAAGAUUCCAGGCCCUACGGGGCGCAGCAGGCGCGAAAACUUUACAAUGCAGGAAACUGUGAUAAGGGAACCCCGAGUGCCCGUAUACGCGGGCUGUCCAGGUGUUUAAAAGUCAUCUGAAGAAAGGGCCGGGCAAGACUGGUGCCAGCCGCCGCGGUAAUACCGGCGGCUCGAGUGGUGGCCACUAUUAUUGGGCUUAAAGCGUCCGUAGCUGGACUGAUAAGUCUCUUGGGAAAUCCGCCGGCUCAACCGGCGGGCGUCUAAGGGAUACUGUUGGUCUAGGGACCGGGAGAGGUGAGAGGUACUCCGGGGGUAGGAGUGAAAUCCUGUAAUCCCCGGGGGACCACCGAUGGCGAAGGCAUCUCACCAGAACGGCUCCGACAGUGAGGGACGAAAGCUGGGGGAGCAAACCGGAUUAGAUACCCGGGUAGUCCCAGCCGUAAACUAUGCGCGUUAGGUGUGCUGGUGACCACGUGUCACCGGGGGUGCC